AAAGUCGUAACAAGGUUUCCGUAGGUGAACCUGCGGAAGGAUCAUUAUCACGUAAUAAUCCACGUAUCAACCAAAAGAACUGUUUUUUAACUAAUAGAUUAACUAUUAUUAAUUCUUCUGAACUCAUGAACUAAUGCUGCUCCUACCCCAAUGAAAAGCGGGGAUGAGCUUUCUUACGAAACAAAAGAACAACUCUUAGCAACGGAUAUCUUGGUUCUC
rnacentral:misc_RNA from 1 species